UACGUAGGGUGCAAGCGUUGUCCGGAAUUAUUGGGCGUAAAGAGCUCGUAGGCGGCUUGGCAAGUCGGGUGUGAAACCUCCAGGCUCAACCUGGAGACGCCACUCGAUACUGCCAUGGCUAGAGUCCGGUAGGGGACCACGGAAUUCCUGGUGUAGCGGUGAAAUGCGCAGAUAAUCAGGAGGAACACCGGUGGCGAAGGCGGUGGUCUGGGCCGGCACUGACGCUGAGGAGCGAAAGCGUGGGUAGCAAACAGG
rnacentral:rRNA from 1 species